rnacentral:rRNA from 1 species
UACGUAGGGCGCAAGCGUUGUCCGGAAUUAUUGGGCGUAAAGGGCUCGUAGGCGGUCUGUCGCGUCGGGAGUGAAAACUCAGGGCUUAACCCUGAGCCUGCUUCCGAUACGGGCAGACUAGAGGUAUGCAGGGGAGAACGGAAUUCCUGGUGUAGCGGUGGAAUGCGCAGAUAUCAGGAGGAACACCGGUGGCGAAGGCGGUUCUCUGGGCAUUACCUGACGCUGAGGAGCGAAAGUGUGGGGAGCGAACAGG